UGAGAGAUGGCUCAGCAGUUAAGAACACUGGCUGCUCUCCCAGAGAGCCUGGGUUCAAUUCCCAGACUCUCAC
rfam:Mus musculus chromosome 8, GRC primary reference assembly.